rnacentral:rRNA from 1 species
CCUACGGGUGGCAGCAGUGGGGGAUAUUGCACAAUGGGGGAAACCCUGAUGCAGCAACGCCGCGUGAAGGAAGAAGGUCUUCGGAUUGUAAACUUUUGUCUUGUGGGAAGAUAAUGACGGUACCACAGGAGGAAGCUCCGGCUAACUACGUGCCAGCAGCCGCGGGCAUACGUAGGGGGCAAGCGUUAUCCGGAUUUACUGGGUGUAAAGGGAGCGUAGACGGCAGUGCAAGUCUGGAGUGAAAGGCGGGGGCUCAACCCCCGGACUGCUCUGGAAACUGUACGGCUGGAGUGCAGGAGAGGUAAGUGGAAUUCGUAGUGUAGCGGUGAAAUGCGUAGAUAUUAGGAGGAACACCAGUGGCGAAGGCGGCUUACUGGACUGUAACUGACGUUGAGGCUCGAAAGCGUGGGGAGCAAACAGGAUUAGAUACCCCAGUAGUC